GUUCAUUCUUGUGCAGCACAAGCAAACAAAUAAUCCUGAGCAGUAGAUAAAUUGGAGUUUCAUCACCAAUUCAUUCAGACAUACUUGAAACAUUGAUAAAUGAUAAAUCGAAAAAUGGUUUCGUAUCUCAAAAAUUGUCUUCUUAUAUUUUUUAUGUAUAACUCAGCCGGUUACUUUGUUGUUAAAUGUUGUAUCUUCUGGGCAGUCUGAAUGAAAGCACUUUUAUGGUUUCAAUAGAAAAAUGGUUAACAGUCAAACCUGUCGUCCAAGGUUACCGAGACAUGUCAGCAGCACACUGACCUCAUGUAUAAAUAGAUUUUACUAUUUCCUAAAAAGAGCUGCAACAGUCAAGGAUACCCAUGUUUAUCUGAGUAUAACGUGAUCAGAUACUAUAACAGUUAAAUCACAUAUAGUUUCUAAUAUGAUUUAUUUACAUUUGUAGGCCUAUAUUAUAUUAACAAACAAAAAACGAAACAGCCAAACACGUCAAACAAGGCUGUUUCUCCUUUAAAGGCCUUAAGACUUCCCGUACAUCUGACUGCAGGUGUUAAGGACAUCACUCACUCCAUCAUGCCAUGUCCAACCCAGCGGAAAAACCAAACAUAUCAAUGUUAAUUUUCACUCCAAACGAUUGAGCUUGGUAUGUCAGCAAAUGCUUAUAAUUAUAUUUACCCACUUUCCCUAGAAGACAAACGAACAUAGCAUUUAUCUCCAAAAGUAGCCUCUUUAAAAUAGAAUUCAUGUAAACAUGUAACACCCCACCCCAUAAACUCUUAUUCUAUUAUGCUGCAUACGUAUUUCUGUAAAAGAACUGACUUUUAAUUGGAUAUUGAAGUGCUGUUCAAACUGUACGCUUUUCAAAGUUGAUGUUCUAAGCAAAUGAAACAUGUGAAGACCUGCCAGUGUUUAUCGGAGUAUCCAGGUCCUAUAGGUGGUUUUUCUAGUUUCUGUCGUUCUUGUAUUCAUGCAAGUUAACAGCCUGAGGAUUAUACAUUUAUGUCAAUGAUUUAUGUCGAUAGUAAAGGGGUGGAAAUGCAUAUGAAGCCAUCAAUUUCAUAUAUUUUGAGAUUUCAUAUACCUUGCGUUUGCUUGUGUCUUAUUUAGAUUUGCCGCUGCUUAAUAUCUAACCUGUUAAACUCGCACAAUCAACCAAAUAAACGAGUCCAAAAAUAACCCCUGGCGACGCCCCCUUCACCUGAAGGCCGGCAAACCUGCAGGAGGGACUCCGCCUCGGGGGCCGGCAGACGUCCGAAAGCUGGCGGUGACCGGCAGCCCCAACCCUUUGGUGUCGUGCGGUGAGAAUAAAGCGCCCUUUGUUUAUAUUAAGGAGUUUGCAUAUAACCUGAGAAAUACGAAAUCGAGGAUCCGCCUGGAUAUUUACUUCCCAAGUUCUUGAGCGAUGAGUGAAGCAGAGAAGGGGGUUUACAGAGGGCUUGAUGAAGAAGGAAAGGUUCUCGUCUGCGAUCCCCCUCACUCUCUGCUGAAACGGUGGCUGCGGCAUUACCGGGAGCGCAGAUCCUCGAGACGGGACGGCGAGGUUGACCCUCAGCCUCGUUCCCGGCAGUGCCUGCUGUUGGCCACCUUCAUCCUGCUGGCUCUGGCACUCAUGGUGCUGCUCCUUCUCUGGAACUAUAAAUGCAUCAUCAUAGAGAAGAUGUGCAGCGGCCAGGAGAGCUCAAUGUUUCCUCUGUUUGGAGAUGGCGAGGAAAGUCACAUGAUGCAGAAGCCGGACUAAGGAGGCCGGGUGGCCUUUGCCCCUGCCAUCUCUGCUCUGCCAUCUACAAUCUCGCUGCGCUCGGUGCAGUGCUUGCUGUUGCUAUGUACAGUUCAGAUCCAGUUACUAGGUUUCUACAGCUUGCUUCCUGUCAGCCUCAUAGAUUUGAAAGUAACUGAUAUGUGGACAUUUCAUUAAUGCUGAAGAGUUGUCCAUCCUUCAGCUCACUUGGAAAAGCCCACGACAGAAAAUUUGCCUGAUAGAACCAAACCUUCAUAUGGUGACACAGCUUAUCACUGUAGAUGAGCUGUGUCUCUUUCGACCAUUGAUGUAACACAGCAGGUGAGGAUUCUGUGAUUCGCGAUAGUGACCCUGAAAAAGUCACCUUGGCUGUCUGAUGUUUAAGGUACAAUCGUGGCUCCACAAUGGAGUGCCGUAAAAGAUAAUGUGCCCUUCAGUGCUUACAUAUCUGAAUUAGCUACUUUAACAUGUGUUGCUCUGCUUGGCAGCAAUAGACCAGUGGCCUACGACCUUUUUUAUAGUGCGAGUCAGUUUUUAUGAAAAAAUAAUUUGGGGAUUUACCAAGUCACAGCAUUACCAACUGGGGGGGGGCGGGCACUCGCACUCAGUAGAGUUUUCUGAUUGGUGGACAGCUUCCCUUACUCCCCCUAAGUAGGCUUGGCUGACGGGUGGCGUGGGGGUGUCACUAUCAACUAGGAAUGCUUUAGAGAUCCACCAGUUGGCAACCAUUUUAGACAAAAAAAAUUUGGGUAUCGACAAAUUUGGGGGGAAAAAAAUGUGUACAUACAUCAAGCUAAUGGAUAUUAGGGAGAAAACUGAAUGGCAUGCAGAUCUCCUUCUGAAUAAUAAGGUCUUUGGUUCCUUUGCUUCUAUAGACAGACUGGUUUAUCUAGACACUUAUGUAUGGCCUAACUGCAGUUUUUCUGCUGAAACACUUUUUAAACUUUGAAUAAGCACAUUUAUACAUUCUUCUGUAUUACAGAAUGUGAAAUAUAUUAAAAGAUAUGUGUGUAUCUGCUUCUUAGUCUGACACUUUUAUCCAAAGGGACUCACAUUUGAGGGAAGGGUUACAAUUUAUAUCUACUCUUUUGGACCUAAAUCCGCGAUCUUUGCGUCAUUAGUGAAAUGCUCUGAAGUCGCUAACUAACAUUGACCUCACAGAGUGUAUCAGGCACUGUCCGGAACCCUGGCCGUAUUAGUGACUAUUUGUGAGUGAAUGGUACUACUAGAGCGGAGACUUGGUGACAGUAAUGACUUACAUGGGAUCAUAGAAUGUCUUAUAAAUAUUUUGCAAAGGGAGAAUGAAUACAUAUAAAUGCGACUGAAAAAAAAAAAAUUUAAAAUACAACAAAAGGGGCUCAAGUCUAAAUAAGUGUGGAAAAUGGUUAUUACUAACGCAGUCUCUUUUUGUUGGUCCUGACAGUUUAAUUCAAACAGUUUGAUAAAAAUGUAUAUAACGUCAUGUAAACUGCAUCGGAAGCACAAUAUCUUUCCAAGAUUCUGCCACCAGAGGGAGAUAUAGCUCAUGAUGAUAAGUCGCCCAAACCACGUUUUUAUCGCAGUCUGGUUUACAGAUAUUUUUUAUUGCUUGCAUUUAUAUUUCAGUAUUUGAAGCCCCACCUGUCAUACAGAGUAUAAUUGCAGGUUCGAUAGUUUGUGUAUUUUUUUCCUUUUAUUAAUGCAGCCAGUUAAUGCAAUGAGCUAUUUACAAGUAAAUAAGUUAAAUAACUGCAAAGGUAUAUUAAAAAAGAGAAGUACUGCUGCUUUCAUUCUCUUUUACUGUUGCAAUAAAAACAAUGAUUAUGGUUGGUUUGCAUAUGUUAAAUAAAGACCUAAAUCUUGCCAA